CUAAGGAUGAUCCUUCAGCGAGCUCACGCUCACUAUCGGAUCGUUUUAGAAACAUCAGUGGCCAACAGAUCGCCAGAUCGUUGAGCUGCAUUGGCGGGAUUUCGCCGUCUUCGUUUCUCUUUCUUCGCGGACGAACACGCGCUGGGCCUGCAUCAAGCAGGAUCCCACGGUCCCUGACGGGAUAUGCGUUAGGGGCUUGUAGCUCAGUUGGUUAGAGCGCGCGCUUGAUAAGCGUGAGGUCGGAAGUUCAAGUCUUCCCAGGCCCACCACUUUCAUCGAGUGAGCAUUCGUCUUCUGGUUACGGGGCCAUAGCUCAGCUGGGAGAGCGCGUGCUUUGCAAGCAUGAGGUCGUCGGUUCGAUCCCGUCUGGCUCCACCAGAUGGUUUGAUCAUCGAGAUCUUGCACCGUCGUCCGCGAAACAUCACUUCGCAUCCUGCUAGUCUGGAUAGACAGCAAGAUGCGUGUUUUCUGACAUCGUAAAGAGGAGAUCGAUCCGAGUUGGGUCGUGCAGCAGAUCGUUGCGCGAAUCCUUCAUUAUCUCCGGAUCAUUUUCGGCGCUCGCUUUCAGCCGUGAGGUUGAAUGCGAGUUGUAAAAUGAUCCUUUUAGCGAAGCUUGACCGCCUCGCUAUCGGAACGAUCUUACGAAGCAAGCUGGUCUUUCUAGUCAAUGUCCGGCUGCACGUAGCAUUCAUCGAGGGUGCGCGCCGUAAGGCAAUCGUGCAGACAACAUUCUGCCGAGUGUGUGGACAUUGAUAAUGAGAGC
rnacentral:tRNA from 2 species